rnacentral:rRNA from 1 species
CGGGAAGGCCUAACACAUGCAAGUCGAACGGUAACAGGAAUCAGCUUGCUGCUUCGCUGACGAGUGGCGGACGGGUGAGUAAUGUCUGGGAAACUGCCUGAUGGAGGGGGAUAACUACUGGAAACGGUAGCUAAUACCGCAUAACGUCGCAAGACCAAAGAGGGGGACCUUCGGGCCUCUUGCCAUCGGAUGUGCCCAGAUGGGAUUAGCUUGUCGGUGGGGUAACGGCUCACCUAGGCGACGAUCCCUAGCUGGUCUGAGAGGAUGACCAGCCACACUGGAACUGAGACACG